GUAUCCCUGCCAACCACAUGUGGGGACAAAGGAGAAAGGCAAAGCAGUCCGGGACCAGGCUGGAGGGAGGUGCUCAGCCACGUGGCUAUCCAGCAGACCGUCAGCCUGGUAGGGCUGGGUCUCUGCUCCCGCAACACCCCACUGGGCACGGUGGGAGGUCAGCGCUGCCCACAAGGGCCUGUUGACACUCGGAGGCUAGUGUAGGGGAGGCCACCGUGGCAGCUCACAGAUUCCGCUGAGCUGCAGGCUCACCUGCUGUACCUCUUUGGCUCCCUUGGGUGCGAGCAGCUUCAAGGAAGCACAACUUCCACAGGCCCCCCCUGUCCUGAACUUGGCGUCUAGAGGAAGCAAGAAACAAAGGUGGGUGCCAGUUUAUCUCCACUGGUUCCAGGUUGGCCUUGCUCUCUCACUUCACGCCUGGCUUUCCUUCCCGACCGCUCCUUGCUGCCUCAAGGCCCAGCACCAUGCAGAGGCAACGCCCACAAAGACAAGACGGCUGAGCCGGCUCCCGCAGCCAGAGCUGAUCUUUGAACAGAGGAGACGCUGAGCUGUAACGAAACACAAGCAGAGGAAGCGCGCCUGCCUCUGUGGGGUCGGUCAGCAGCAGCCCACCUCGUGCUCCUACCUCUUCCCAAAAUUCCUGCAGCUGUUACCUCCUGACACGCAUGGGUCUGUGGCCUUGUCACCUCCCACACCUGCAGGAGGUUUUCCCAGGCAGGCCCCACCACAAGCGGUGUGGGAGGCAGGUGCCCUCAAGGAGACACACCUCACAGGGCACCUGGGAGGAGCACCAUUUAACUUGCACUGGAUCCACAAAUAAAAAUUGCACACACUUUUGGCAGACACUUUUUUUAUUCAGGAAAUACAUCUUCCCUACUGGUUCCAGCCGCUGCCAGGAAUGAUGAUGUGAUGGGAAGCACUCUCACUGAACACCCAGUGGGAGAACGGAGGAGCAGCAUUGCUUCCUGCCUUUUAGAGUGUCACCUCACACAGCAGGGCCCAGCAGAGGAGGGGCUGAGGGGAGCGAGCCACCUGUUGCGGUCACCCCUGCAGGCAGGUGCUUCCCAUGGCAGGGUCAGUGGGCCAACUUUCCAUAGUCAGACAUCUUAUUUCCUCUAAUCGUAUUUUAAGAAAUCGGCUCUUCCACGCUAAGAUUUACAAUAAAAAUAAAAUAAUUUGCUCUGUAAACUAUAGUAGAAAGUUAAGUGUCUUAAAAACUAUCUUCCAUACAACGGAAAAAGGCUUCUGUGUUCUGUUCUGGGUGAAAGGAGACCCAGGUGUGCGGAGAGAAGCCGCAUUGGCAUGUUGCUGGAGACAUGUGGAAGCACUUCUUGGCCUCAGAGGCUUGGAAAGAGGACGGAGCCACCUUCUUCCCUUCAGGCUUGCCGUCCAGCUUUCCUCUCCCUGUGGGCUCUUCCAAGAUGCUCACGGCUAUUCUGCAGUUGCCUGGUCCUUGGCGGCGGCAACCAGCUCUGCCAGGGCCGGGAAGCUCUUUAUGUCCUUUGUUGCCAGGCCCAUCUUUUGUAUCUGCAAAGGCCACGAAAGUGAAUAAAAGCACUGUGGUCUCAGCUGAAUACGAACAAAAGGCCCUUAUGAAGAACACAAGAAUAACUACCACCCCCACCCUCCAAGAAAUCAGAAAAAGGCAGCUCCCCAAAGAAUGGCAGAGUAUUUUUUCCCUUCACAGCAAAGGAUUUACUCAUUAUAAAGCUUCACUUUUUUGGGUUAAAGUUAGCAUUCUAUGAAGCCAGCAUGUUCAUUUAUCUAAGUCCAUCAAAUCAGGCUUACCCAGGGUAAGAGCCUCUUUUGUGAACUGGAAAAGAAAAUUCACACAAAAAGAAUAAUAAAGUAAACUAUUUGUUAAGCAGAGAGUUUUUCCAAAAAGCAAUGGCCUGCGCUUUUACUUUCUUCACAUGCCAUCAACAACCUUUUCUCAGAAUCUGAUGAAUUGCGGACGUUGUGGCAGAGAACCAGAGUGAAUUACUGAGGCAACCGAGUUGUGGCAUCCCAUGUUCCCACUGUUGUUAACAACGGCAACAAACCCCACACACUCACAGGAAAAUCUGGGAAAAUCUACACCAAGUACUUCACAUCUGUGGGCAUGUUGACGCUCAUCUGGGGACCAGGACCACAGGGUACCAUUUCUUUUCAUCCCCCUGCUUCCACCCACCCCGCCUGUGUCUGGUUUCUUUGUUUCUCAUUUUGCUGUAGCAAGCUGUCUUGUUUGUAAAAAAGACUGUAAGUUUCCCUUGUGAAAUAAAGAAAUGGAGCAAUGGA